AAUCAACGCUGGCGGCGUGCCUAACACAUGCAAGUCGAACGCGAAAGCCCCUUCGGGGGUAAGUAGAGUGGCGUCCGGGUGAGUAACACGUAGGUAAUCUACCUUCGGGUGGGGAAGUAACCAGUCGAAAGAUUGGCUAAUACCGCAUAAUGCAGCGGCACCUAAUGGUGAUUAGUUGUUAAAGCGGGGGAGUCGUAAGACCUCGCGCCUGAAGAGGAGCCUGCGGCAGAUUAGCUAGUUGGGAGUA
rnacentral:rRNA from 1 species